rnacentral:rRNA from 1 species
CGUGUAGGCGGUUGAUUAAGUCGGCUGUGAAAGCCCCGGGCUUAACCCGGGAAGUGCAUCCGAAACUGAUCGACUUGAGUCUGGAAGAGGGAAAUGGAAUUCCUGGUGUAGCGGUGAAAUGCGCAGAUAUCAGGAAGAACACCAGUGGCGAAGGCGGUUUCCUGGGCCACGACUGACGCUGAGACGCGAAAGCUAGGGGAGCAAACAGGAUUAGAUACCCUGGUAGUCCUAGCCGUAAACGAUGGAUACUAGGUGUGGGAGGUCGUUGACGCCUUCCGUGCCGCAGCUAACGCAUUAAGUAUCCCGCCUGGGGAGUACGGCCGCAAGGCUAAA